rnacentral:rRNA from 1 species
UACAGAGGUCUCAAGCGUUGUUCGGAUUCAUUGGGCGUAAAGGGUGCGUAGGUGGCGCGGUAAGUCGGGUGUGAAAUCUCGGGGCUUAACUCCGAAACUGCAUUCGAUACUGCCGUGCUUGAGGACUGGAGAGGAGAGUGGAAUUCCCGGUGUAGCGGUGAAAUGCGCAGAUAUCGGGAGGAACACCAAUGGCAAAGGCAGCUCGCUGGGACGUUACUGACGCUGAGACGCGAAAGCGUGGGGAGCAAACAGG